AUUUCGAUUUUUUUUUUUAAUUUUAUUUUUACUUUUCCCAACCCCUGUCAUUUAAAAAUCACAUAAUUAAUUGCGCACAUCCUGUGCCACGCGGGGCUGCCGCGGCUUUGAAGUCCCCAUAGAUCAUUUUGCAGAGCCGUGGGUGCCGUUCCUUCCAGCGCGGCACCCGGCGCCAGCGCGAGCCCGGGUGGAAUUUAGCAUAUCCUACUCCAGAAAUCUGCCCGCGUGACCCAUGGGGACAGGAAUGAAACCGCCAUUCAUUCAAGAGGGCUUUGCCACCGAGACGCCACCGAGGUGCCACCGCUUCCGAGGCAGAGAGCCGCGGCCGGCUGGACAAAUAACGUGCUUCGUGCUGCUCAGGAGCCAGGUCCAGUUAGCAUAGGAGGGGAGCAGGUAAACAGGAUUUUCCCCUUCAAGAGACCAGAGAAAACUCCUUUUAAACUCUUCUGUGUGUGUGUGUGUGUGUUACAGGUGCUAGAGCAGAACAAACUAAAACUUGGUGUAGAGCAAACCAAAGUUCGGUAUUAGAGGUUUCCUCCAAUGAAGCCACACAAAGUUAUGUGGAGCUGGCACUGCAGGCUGUGAUUUUGGGACACAUCUUUAACGAAGAGUAGGGACUCACGGCUGAGCAUGGUCAUCAUUCCCACCUCCCUUCAGCUGACAACUGAGAGGCAGAACCCAGGUUCCUAACCCGGCCCAGAAGCGGUUAUAGUCCAGUAGAUACUAUAGGUGUAGAAAGCUCUGGAAAUCUUUACUUUGGGACAAAAGACACCAUGCAGUUGUGAAACAGUAUCAUCACUAUUGAGUUAUUCUAACAGUGCUACUGAACACAUGGGUUGAGAGAGAAGAAGCAUGAUGGACAGAUUGCCUUCAAGCCAUUUGAAGGUUGUUCAUUCCCUAAACUCUACACUUUUACCUACCUGUUUCUUAAAGCUACCCAGAAGUUGCUUUAAAAUUGUGCCUUUCAUCUGCAAUUCUAGAACCUUUCCAUAGUUUGAGUUCUUAAAUUAGAAUUUAUCUUUACACUAACACAAGCUGGCAAAAAGUUAUAAGUGACUUUCGAGAUCUCUGCAAAUAACAAAUUUGCUGAUUAGCUAGCUGAUGCAAAAAAAUUGAAAAAAACCUUUGCUUCUAGUUAACUUAAAAUGACAGAAAUUCCAGUUUCAUUUUGAAAAUGAUUUUAAAUCUUUCUACAAUUAAAUAUAGGCCUCUUUGGAAAGAAAAUGUUUUGCACAUUGAAGCAUUUCUAUGUCAAAAGCACUACCAAUGACCGACGUUGAUAGUCUUGAAUUUUUUUUCUCAUUUGUAUUAGUCAAAACUAUGGUGGAAUGCAAAGUUUGGAAACAGAUCAUGUCCACUGAAAACUACAUUUGUUGACAAAUAAAGUGUUUGUGCAAGAAAUUUCA
rnacentral:lncRNA from 1 species